rnacentral:rRNA from 1 species
UACGGAGGAUGCGAGCGUUAUCCGGAUUUAUUGGGUUUAAAGGGUGCGCAGGCGGAAGAUCAAGUCAGCGGUAAAAUUGAGAGGCUCAACCUCUUCGAGCCGUUGAAACUGGUUUUCUUGAGUGAGCGAGAAGUAUGCGGAAUGCGUGGUGUAGCGGUGAAAUGCAUAGAUAUCACGCAGAACUCCGAUUGCGAAGGCAGCAUACCGGGCGCUCAACUGACGCUCAUGCACGAAAGUGUGGGUAUCGAACAGG